rnacentral:rRNA from 1 species
GAUGAACGCUGGCGGCGUGCUUAACACAUGCAAGUCGAACGAUGAAGCCCAGCUUGCUGGGUGGAUUAGUGGCGAACGGGUGAGUAACACGUGAGUAACCUGCCCUUGACUCUGGGAUAAGCCUGGGAAACUGGGUCUAAUACUGGAUAUGACUUCUCAUCGCAUGGUGGGGGGUGGAAAAAUUUAUUGGUCUUGGAUGGACUCGCGGCCUAUCAGCUUGUUGGUGAGGUAAUGGCUCACCAAGGCGACGACGGGUAGCCGGCCUGAGAGGGUGACCGGCCACACUGGGACUGAGACACGGCCCAGACUCCUACGGGAGGCAGCAGUGGGGAAUAUUGCACAAUGGGCGCAAGCCUGAUGCAGCGACGCCGCGUGAGGGAUGACGGCCUUCGGGUUGUAAACCUCUUUCAGUAGGGAAGAAGCGAGAGUGACGGUACCUGCAGAAGAAGCGCCGGCUAACUACGUG